rnacentral:tRNA from 1 species
GCCGCCGUAGCUUAGCGGGCAGAGCGCCGGACUCAUAAUCCGGAGGUCCGGGGUUCGAAUCCCCGCGGCGGCA